CAAGUCUACUGCUAAACAACUAACUUUGGAGGACAAGAAGUUAGUCAGAUCAACCUCUACCAACCUGAAUUUUGGGCCAGAGAAAGAACAGCAAACAUCUGGACUAGUGAUAGGACUCAGCAUUUUCUUUGGGAUGCUCCUUAUUAUUGUUAUCAUUGUUUGUUGCUGUAGGUGGAAAAAGUCAAGAAAAAGCUCAUUUGACUUGAACUCAGUAGAAGCAACUAUUCCCUUAAAUACCAUUGAAACAAAAGAACCAAGCUCAGGUGGGGAGAAGAAAUGAAAGCACUCUCGCUUAAUAGCCAUUCAAGAAGAUCUCACAAAAAGAACUAAUAUGGCUGAAUCACCAGAGAAAUUAAAAUGGAUUGAAAUUCAAAGAGAUCCACUGGCACUCUCAGUAGUGUAAUCUUCUUUUUAAAAUGGCACAUUUUGGAGUGUUCCUGAAUCUAGUCAUAGUAAUAAGCAGAUAUUCAUUGGUGCUGGCUGCUACAAAUCUUUAUUCAUUGCCUGUUCCUUUUUGGUUGUGGAAAAAAGCUCGCCUUACUUUAAUAUAGUUAUCUAAGGGCCACAUUUCACCAUUUAGGCACAAAUCUGCACCAGCAUAUGAGGAAAUGGGGGAGGCAUAAUCCCUCUCCCAGCUCUCCAGCAUUCAGAAGAAACAUGCCAUGGCCCUUCCUCUUCCUGCCCCUGCCUGCUUCCUUUAGAGGAUUUGUGGCCCUUAGGGUGCACAGCAGGAAGGAGUCACGGAGGGCGGCAGUAUUUGUGCUUCCCUGAGUAUAGGGACUGGGGUCUUUCUGGGCCCUUAUGUGGAGCUCCUAAGAAGUGAGGGGAAAACUACUUAUGCCUCCUGCUCCCACCAAUUCAUCCGUCCAAAAGCCUGUGAAAAUCUAGCCCUUAAUUCUUUGUACAUAGCUUGUUUUAUAAUAAAUGACCUAAGUAAAAGUAAGUCUCAGCACAGUGUAUUUCUGUUAAAUGCAAAAAUGAUGCUGAUGCACUGUUAAGAUUGAAAUGUUGUGCUCACUAAAAUCAGAAAAUGUAGAGUUAAAGGACCAGAGCCUCAGCUGGUGCAAACUGACAGCUUCCUUGGCUUCACUGGAGCCAUAUUGAUUGACACCAGCUGAAGAUCUGGCCCCAGGUUUCCAGAGACACUUUUGCACAGUAGGGUUUUUAUCAUCUAAUCAUAACACUUAUAUAUGCAAUAACAUAAAAUGUUGUAUUUGUUCAUAGAGUGUUAUAAAAGAAUGUGUAGUUUUAACAUGGAAGCCUACAAUCCUGUAUACCAUGUUUACAGUUUUACAAACACAAUGUAAGAACACAAUGCAGCUUAUUUCCUUGGUAUGAAGUUAUUUGCUAAAUAGUGUUAUU